UACGGAGGGUGCAAACGUUGCUCGGAAUUAUUGGGCGUAAAGCGUGCGUAGGUGGUCUGUUAAGUCUGAUGUGAAAGCCCUGGGCUCAACCUGGGAAUUGCAUUGGAUACUGGCAGGCUAGAGUGCGGUAGAGGAUGGCGGAAUUCCCGGUGUAGCAGUGAAAUGCGUAGAGAUCAGGAGGAACACCCGUGGCGAAGGCGGCUCCCUGGUCCGUUUCUGACGCUGAGACGCGAAAAGCGCGGGGGAGCGAACGGGGAU
rnacentral:rRNA from 1 species